CCUACGGGAGGCUGCAGUGAGGAAUAUUGGUCAAUGGGCGCAAGCCUGAACCAGCCAAGUCGCGUGAGGGAUGACGGUCCUAUGGAUUGUAAACCUCUUUUGUCGGGGAGCAAGGCCCGCCACGUGUGGCGGGAAGGAGAGUACCCGAAGAAAAAGCAUCGGCUAACUCCGUGCCAGCAGCAGCGGUAAUACGGGGGAUGCGAGCGGUAUGCGGCUUUAUUGGGUUUAAAGGGUGCGUAGGCGGAAGGUUAAGUCAGCGGUAAAAGCCCGGGGAGAACCCCCGGCGAGCCUUUGAAACUGGCUGUCUUGAGAUGUCGAGAGGUAUGCGGAAUGCGCAGUGUAGCGGUGAAAUGCUUAGAUAUUGCGCAGAACUCCGAUUGCGAAGGCAGCAUACCGGCGGCGAUCUGACGCUGAGGCACGAAAGCGUGGGUAUCGAACAGGAUUAGAUACCCCAGUAGUC
rnacentral:rRNA from 1 species